AUUGAACGCUGGCGGCAGGCCUAACACAUGCAAGUCGAGCGGAUGAAGGGAGCUUGCUCCUGGAUUCAGCGGCGGACGGGUGAGUAAUGCCUAGGAAUCUGCCUGGUAGUGGGGGAUAACGUCCGGAAACGGGCGCUAAUACCGCAUACGUCCUGAGGGAGAAAGUGGGGGAUCUUCGGACCUCACGCUAUCAGAUGAGCCUAGGUCGGAUUAGCUAGUUGGUGGGGUAAAGGCCUACCAAGGCGACGAUCCGUAACUGGUCUGAGAGGAUGAUCAGUCACACUGGAACUGAGACACGGUCCAGACUCCUACGGGAGGCAGCAGUGGGGAAUAUUGGACAAUGGGCGAGAGCCUGAUCCAGCCAUGCCGCGUGUGUGAAGAAGGUCUUCGGAUUGUAAAGCACUUUAAGUUGGGAGGAAGGGCAGUAAGUUAAUACCUUGCUGUUUUGACGUUACCGACAGAAUAAGCACCGGCUAACUUCGUG
rnacentral:rRNA from 1 species